rnacentral:misc_RNA from 1 species
AAGUCGUAACAAGGUUUCCGUAGGUGAACCUGCGGAAGGAUCAUUAACACGAAUUUAUUAUCCAAUAUCAAAACCAAACGUGAACCUAUCUUCUCCCUACAUUUAUUAUCUCUUGAUUUAAAGAGAUAUUGAUGUAGGCUAACAUUCAUAUAUCUUACAAUAUAUGAACCCUUUAUAUUUUAACCCCUUUAACUUUAACUAGUUUUCAGCAUUCAAUAUGAUACUUGAAGACAACUAACUAAAAGAAAAACUACAAGGUUAUUCGGAAAGAGCAACUCUUGUAAUUUUCGUUUCGAUCUACGAAAAACUACAAUGAACAACUCUUAACAAUGGAUAUCUUGGUUCUC